GCCGCUGUAGUGUAGCUUGGUCAGCACAGAGCCCUGUGGAGGCUUUAGCGAGGGUUCAAAGGAGCCAUGCUCUGAAAGUCCCUCCGGCGGCC
rnacentral:tRNA from 1 species